UGCCAGCAGCCGCGGUAAUACGGAGGGUGCAAGCGUUAAUCGGAAUUACUGGGCGUAAAGCGCGCGUAGGCGGAAUGUUAAGUCUCAUGUGAAAGCCCUGGGCUCAACCCAGGAACUGCGUUCGAAACUGCGUAUCUUGAGUGAUGGAGAGGGAAUCGGAAUUCUCGGUGUAGAGGUGAAAUUCGUAGAUAUCGAGAGGAACACCAGUGGCGAAAGCGGAUUCCUGGACAUUUACUGACGCUGAGGUACGAAAGCGUGGGGAGCAAACAGGAUUAGAUA
rnacentral:rRNA from 1 species